rnacentral:rRNA from 1 species
GUGCCAGCAGCCGCGGUAAUACAGAGACCCCGAGCAUUAUCCGGAAUUAUUGGGCGUAAAGGGCGAGUAGCCGGUCGCGUUAGUCCGAUGUAAAACCAUGGGGCCCAACUUCAUGUCUGCAUUGGAAACGGCGCGACUCGAGCGGAUGAGAGGAGAGCGGAACGUAUGGUGUAGGGGUGAAAUCCACUGAUAUCAUACGGAACACCAAAAGCGAAGGCAGCUCUCUAGCGUCUUGCUGACGGUCAAUCGCUAAAGCGUGGGGAUCAAAAAGGAUUAGAAACCCCAGUAGUCC